GACGAACGCUGGCGGCGUGCUUAACACAUGCAAGUCGAACGGUGAAGCGCCUUCCUUUUUGGUGGGUGUGGAUGAGUGGCGAACGGGUGAGUAACACGUGAGUAACCUGCCCCCUUCUUCUGGAUAACCGCAUGAAAGUGUGGCUAAUACGGGAUAUUCUGGGUCUGUCGCAUGAUGGGUCUGGGAAAGAUAUUGUUUCGGUGGGGGAUGGGCUCGCGGCCUAUCAGCUUGUUGGUGGGGUGAUGGCCUACCAAGGCGGUGACGGGUAGCCGGCCUGAGAGGGUGGACGGCCACACUGGGGCUGAGACACGGCCCAGACUCCUACGGGAGGCAGCAGUGGGGAAUAUUGCACAAUGGGCGCAAGCCUGAUGCAGCGACGCCGCGUGAGGGAUGGAGGCCUUCGGGUUGUGAACCUCUUUCGCCAGUGAAGCAGGCCUGCCUCGUUUGUGGGUGGGUUGACGGUAGCUGGAGAAGAAGCGCCGGCUAACUACGUG
rnacentral:rRNA from 1 species